GACGAACGCUGGCGGCGUGCCUAAUACAUUCAAGUCGAACGCAGUGGGGACGGGUGAGUAACACGUGGGUAACCUCCCCAUCAGAGGGGAUAACACUUGGCAACAGGUGCUAAACCGAUAUCGAUGGAUGGACCCGCGGUGCAUUAGCUAGUUGGUGAGUUAACGGCCCACCAAGGCAACGAGGCAUAGCCGACCUGUGAGGGUGAUCGUCCACGUGGGGACUGAGAAACGGCCCAGACUCCUACGGGAGGCAGCAGUAGGGAAUCUUCGGCAAUGGACGAAAGUCUGACCGAGCAACGCCGCGUGAGUGAAGAAGGUUUUCGGAUCGUAAAACUCUGUUGUUAGAGAAGCGGUAUCUAACCAGAAAGCCACGGCUAACUACGUGCCAGCAGCCGCGGUAAUAC
rnacentral:rRNA from 1 species